rnacentral:rRNA from 1 species
GACAAACGCUGGCGGCGUGCCUAAUACAUGCAAGUCGAACGACGAAAGCCUUCGGGCAAGUAAGAGUGGCGCACGGGCGAGGAACACGUAGAUAAUCUGCCCUUCAGUGGGGAAUAACUCUCCGAAAGGAGUGCUAAUACCGCAUAAGACCACAAGCUCUGCGGAGCAAGGGGUUAAAGGAUUUAUUCGCUGAAGGAUGAGUCUGCGUCUGAUUAGCUAGUUGGUGAGGUAAUGGCUUACCAAGGCAAUGAUCGGUAGAUGGUCUGAGAGGAUGAUCAUCCGCACUGGAACUGAGACACGGUCCAGACUCCUACGGGAGGCAGCAGUAGGGAAUAUUGCACAAUGGGGGAAACCCUGAUGCAGCAACGCCGCGUGAGUGAUGAAGGCUCUAGGGUCGUAAAGCUCUGUCGUAUGGGAAGAAGAAAAUGACGGUACCAUACAAGAAAGGACCGGCCAACUUCGUGCCAGCCGCCGCGGUAA